CCUACGGGGGGCAGCAGUGGGGAAUAUUGGGCAAUGGGCGCAAGCCUGACCCAGCAACGCCGCGUGAAGGAAGAAGGCUUUAGGGUUGUAAACUUCUUUUCUCAGGGACGAAGAAAGUGACGGUGCCUGAGGAAUAAGCCACGGCUAACUACGAGCCAGCAGCCGCGGUAAUACGGAGGGGGCAAUCGUUAUCCGGAUUUAUUGGGUGUAAAGGGAGUGUAGGCGGGAGCUCAAGUCCGAUGUGAAAACUCAGGGCUCAACCCUGAGCCUGCAUUUGAGACUGUGUUUCUUGAGUGCUGGAGAGGCAAGCGGAAUUCCGUGUGUAGCGGUGAAAUGCGUAGAUAUACGGAGGAACACCAGUGGCGAAGGCGGAUUGCUGGACAGUAACUGACGCUGAGGCGCGAAAGCGUGGGGAGCAAACAGGAUUAGAUACCCCUGUAGUC
rnacentral:rRNA from 1 species